UAGGAUCGGGAGCUUGACUCAGCAUUAAUUGCGAGGGGGUAGUGGGAGACGCGUGUAAACGACCAUUAACAACUCCUAGCUUCAUGCGAUCUCAACCGUUGAUGGGGGUUGCUGAUCCUACGGUGGCGAGGGAGACCUGCACGUGACUUGAUCUGUGGGAUCUGAACAUGCCACAUGUUCAAAUCAGACGGCUUCGAGGGGAGCCAUACUUAAACUCAAUUUUUUAGUUUUCUUCAUUUUUCAUUUCCUGUUUCAAAAACUCAUCCCCUUUCUCUCGUGUCUCCCCCUUUUUCUCUCUUUCCGUUCCUCUCUUUUUUUAUACCCACUCUCUUUGCAACUUGGAUCUCCAAGCACGAAACCUCAGGGUUUCGUGUUUUUUCCCCCUCUAUGACCAACCCUGAACCUUGAAAACCUUAGAUCUGCUAGUCUCCAUCCUCUCAGAUCUCCCAUCCAUUGAAAACCAAACAACUUAACGAAUCCCUAGAUUUUCAAACCCUCUCAAUUUUUCCCUAUUCAUAGUGAGACAAAUUCGAAAGCCUCAACUUGCUUUCUCUCAGGUCUCUGAAGUUUGAGACGAGGGAGCCAUCCGAGCACCGGAUGGGCUCAGAGUGAGGGACCACUAGGUGCCAGACCCAAGUGCAGGCUCAACCUGUGGUGCAUUCGAAGCAGAGAGCUAAGUGAUCUUGAGGGUCCAUGUGGCAGAUGAGGAAUGGAGGGCUUUCGGGAUGCUUCCAGAUGGUGGCAUUGGGAUGGAGGGAAGGGCAUCCUUGGUUAAUUUAUCGUUUGUGAUUUUCUUUUGCUAUUGCUAACCAAUCUUAUUUUGCUCUGCUUCUCUGUGUGCAGGUAGCUGAGGUGAUCCAGAUGUUAGCAUAGGAGAGGAGCGCUUUUUGGAUGUCUCAGCUUGGCAAGCUUGGAUUGGAGCAUGGAGGGAUUAAACACUUGUUUCUUCUUUUCGUAUUUUGAUUUUUGUAAUCAUUAUUACCUGUUUCGCUAUUCCUUGUGUACACGUAGGUAACCCCGUGUAAAUUUCCCUCCGAUCGUAGUCUGUACAGCUCCUUUGUAUUGUGACCUUUAGUUACACGCUUCCUGCAACUCUUGGGACAUUUAUAUUUCUGCA